GUUAAGGACGAGGAGGCAAUUAAGCAAAAGCUUUGUGAGGAUUUGAAUAGUCUGGUUCUGGAAAGUAGUAACAGUCAGCUUGCUAGAUUGGAGGAACUGAAAAAACGGCUGGAAGCUUUGAAUCCAAGUAGAGCAUCCACUGCCUCUGACCAAAGUCCUGUGGGAUCUGUACAAAACAUUAUGGCUCAAGACGUUUCCUCAGUAAAGGAUACACAAGAAUCGUCGAGCAGAUCUUCUGGAA
rnacentral:misc_RNA from 1 species